AGUUUUAUGUCACCAUGCUGUUUUCUUUUCUCUUAUUUGUCCACUUUCCUCGACUACUGCUUCAAGGAUAAAACAAGAAGAAACGAACAAAACUCUAACAUAUUAAAUACAUGGUAAAGUGAAGAAAAUUGACAAGAAUGAGGUGCAGCUUAGGCUGCAUUCACAUGAGCCACUUUUUGUGGUCAGUGGCCCAUCUCAAAAAAAAUGGUUAAAUAUAGAACACAUACAUCUAUAUGGCUUUAUUCACAUUGGCUUUUUUUUCUCCCAGCAGCUGUAAAAAAGUGGUGAGUUGUGGCUGGCAGAGCGAUUUUUUCAACCACACCACUAUGGCCAGCCACAGUGGCCAGCAAUAGAAGGCAUUAUCAGUGGCAGCAUGCACACAAGCCACAAUCAGCUACUGCCAUCCUUCCUCCUGCUGCUUUCACACUGUCUUGUCCUGUCUGUCAGUCAAGUACUCCUUUCUGUGCUUUUGUACAUUUUCAUGAAAAAGGAUGGAUGGAUGAAGAUGGAUAGGCAAUGUGCAGUACAAUCAGUUUUCCUGAACAUAAACAAACCCUUGCCUUGCGCUGCCUGUGUGUGUUGAUCUGUUGGCCAAAAUCUUCCAUACAUCAUCAUCCUCUACAUUGUUCAGUACUGCACAGCUAAUCAUCAUCAUCAUCAGUCAAGUUGUAGUAUCUUCACAGUUUGCUGCUUCUCUAUAACCACAACACUUAGAGACUUCUGGAUAAGAAGAAAGAAGACACGAUGACAGGCAGCCCAGAUUCACACAUGAAUUGGUGAUAAUUGUUAACUUAUCAACUGUUAAAGCUCACCUAUCAUAUACAAGAAGAAGGAGUUGGGGGAAGAAAAGCAGUGAUUGUAGAAUUCAAGUUUGUCAAAACACUAUGAUCUUUAUUUAUAAUACUCUUUAUUAUUUCCAAAGAUUUUCUAAAAUUACAUUUUCUUAAAAUAAAUUAUCACUUUUAUUUUGCAUUAAGAAUAAUCUUCAGUAUACUUCUCUUUUACUCAGUGUAUCUCUUAACAGGUCUUUUAAGUGGUAAACUUCAAUUUUUUUGUCUUAACAGGUCUUUUAAGUGGUAAACUUCAUUUUUUGUCUUGAAAUUUAAAGUCACCUAAUAAUCUACUUUGCAAAGGAAUAAAAUGUACUAGGAUAAGUAAUGUAAUGUAGUGUAAUUAUGUCUUUGUGUGGUGUGUGUGCGGGGGUGCAUGUGUCAGUCUGGCCCCCCACUUUUGUUGACAUGUGCAGGAAGCUAGGCCUUGAGGCCCAGCAUGGCAUGGGAUGAAGCUGGCAGUUGGAGAAUGUAAGCAAUUGAGGAAGGACAGACAUGCCAUAUGCUUGAGAACCAAUGUGAGAGUUAAUUUGAGUGUUGCCUGUGCCAUGUAACUGUGCCCUAUAAUGUGCCCUGUAUUGUGGCCUGUGCUUAGUGAAUAAACAUGUUUCGUGUA